rnacentral:rRNA from 1 species
AGUGAACGCUGGCGGUAGGCCUAACACAUGCCAGUCGAACGGCAGCACAGUAAGAGCUUGCUCUUACGGGUGGUGAGUGGCGGACGGGUGAGGAAUACAUCGGAAUCUACUUUUUCGUGGGGGAUAACGUAGGGAAACUUACGCUAAUACCGCAUACGACCUACGGGUGAAAGCAGGGGAUCUUCGGACCUUGCGCGAUUGAAUGAGCCGAUGUCGGAUUAGCUAGUUGGCGGGGUAAAGGCCCACCAAGGCGACGAUCCGUAGCUGGUCUGAGAGGAUGAUCAGCCACACUGGGACUGAGACACGGUCCAGACUCCUACGGGAGGCAGCAGUGGGGAAUAUUGGACAAUGGGCGCAAGCCUGAUCCAGCCAUACCGCGUGGGUGAAGAAGGCCUUCGGGUUGUAAAGCCCUUUUGUUGGGAAAGAAAAGCAGCAGGUUAAUACCCCGCUGUUCUGACGGUACCCAAAGAAUAAGCACCGGCUAACUUCGUG